AACCAAAACAUGUCUUUUUGAAUUAAAUUUAAAGUCUAGCCUGCCCACUGAAUUAUUUAAAUGGCCGCAGUAUCCUAACUGUGCAAAGGUAGCAUAAUCAUUAGUCUUUUAAUUGAAGGCUGGUAUGAAUGGUUGGACGAGAUAUUAACUGUUUCAUAUAAAUUUAUAAUAGAAUUUUAUUUUUUAAUCAAAAAGUUAAAAUAUAUUUAAAAGACGAGAAGACCCUAUAAAUCUUUAUAUUUAGAUUAUUAUAUUUUUUUAGAUAAAUUUUAAUAUAAUAAUUAAUAAUAUUUUAUUGGGGUGAUAUUAAAAUUUAAUAAACUUUUAAUUUUAUUAAAUCAUUAAUUUAUGAAUAAUUGAUCCGUUAAUAACGAUUAAAAAUUUAAGUUACUUUAGGGAUAACAGCGUAAUUUUUUUGGAGAGUUCAUAUCGAUAAAAAAGAUUGCGACCUCGAUGUUGGAUUAAGAAAUAUGUUUAGGUGUAGCCGCUUAAAUAAUAAGUCUGUUCGACUUUUAAAUUCUUACAUGAC
rnacentral:rRNA from 1 species